UACGUAGGGGGCUAGCGUUGUCCGGAAUCAUUGGGCGUAAAGAGCGCGUAGGCGGCUAGAUAAGUCCGGUGUGAAAGUCACAGGCUCAACCUGUGAAUGCCGCUGGAAACUGUCUGGCUAGAGUCCGGAAGGGGCGAGUGGAAUUCCUGGUGUAGCGGUGAAAUGCGUAGAUAUCGAGAGGAACACCUGCGGCGAAGGCGGGUAGCUGGGCCGACACUGACGCUGAUGCGCGAAAGCCAGGGGAGCGAACGGG
rnacentral:rRNA from 1 species